GACGAACGCUGGCGGCGUGCUUAAAACAUGCAAGUCGAACGGGGUCCAUGGAGUGGCAACACUCCGGGAAGACCGAGUGGCGAACGGGUGCGUAACACGUGAGGAACCUGCCCCGGAGACCGGGAUAACCCUCCGAAAGGAGAGCUAAUACCGGAUGUCCUCGUCUGAUCGCAUGGUCGGACGAAGAAAUGGAUUCCGCUCCGGGAUGGCCUCGCGGCCUAUCAGCUUGUUGGUGGGGUAACGGCCUACCAAGGCAGCGACGGGUAGCUGGUCUGAGAGGACGAUCAGCCACACUGGGACUGAGACACGGCCCAGACUCCUACGGGAGGCAGCAGUUAGGAAUCUUGCGCAAUGGGCGAAAGCCUGACGCAGCAACGCCGCGUGGGGGAUGAAGGCUCUCGGGUUGUAAACCCCUUUCAGCAGGGACGAUUGUGACGGUACCUGCAGAAGAAGGACCGGCCAACUACGUGCCAGCAGCCGCGGUAAUACGUAGGGUCCGAGCGUUGUCCGGAUUUAUUGGGCGUAAAGAGCUCGUAGGCGGUUCCGUAAGUCAGAUGUGAAAACUCAGGGCUCAACCCGGAGACGCCAUCUGAUACUGCGGUGACUGGAGUCUGGUAGGGGAACACGGAAUUCCUGGUGUAGCGGUGAAAUGCGCAGAUAUCAGGAGGAACACCGAUGGCGAAGGCAGUGUUCUGGGCCAGUACUGACGCUGAGGAGCGAAAGCGUGGGGAGCAAACAGGAUUAGAUACCCUGGUAGUCCACGCCGUAAACGUUGGGCACUAGGUGUGGGUCCUCAUCAACGGGAUCCGUGCCGUAGCUAACGCAUUAAGUGCCCCGCCUGGGGAGUACGGCCGCAAGGCUA
rnacentral:rRNA from 1 species